UCUGCAAAAACCAGUUUUCAAUUAGGUUUGCAAUGGAAAAUCGACUGGGAAAUUGACAAUGUGAAUUAUAGGUUGAAAUUUGAAGCGGAACGGUUCAUUAACCGAGGUUGGUGAAAGAGACUUUAAGUCAUUGGGUCUGUUUUUUAUGACUAGUAUCAUCUUUAACUUAAAAUCAGGUUACAAAUUUGAAGCAGACAUCUUCAAAUGGUAUGAAGGUUGCAAAUUUGAAGCAGAACAUCUUCAAAUGGUAUGAAGGUACAAAUAUACCUCAUCUCUUAAGAACGCUUCAAACAUACAAUUGCUGUGUUCAAUUUGGAACUUCCAGCGUUUCUAUUCUUGUUUUACGUCUACUGAAAUGUUGAUUAUAAGCAUUUAUGGCGCAUGAACAUCCAAACCAAACACAGCUAAUAUUAGCCAAUAGUAUCAAUCAAAUAUCAAAGAAGCUAAAAUCAAUAAAAAAAAUGUAUUAUCAAUAGCGUGAUGACAAUACAGUGUUAAUAGUCCUAAACUAACAAGGAAACAUAUAGAAGUG